UUGUUUUGUUUUUGGAGGAUUUGUUUUAUUCUUAUAAAUUGAAGUAUAUAAGAAAAUUACGUUCCAAAAUAUUUUAACUGUCACCAAUAUCUCCAAAUAAAGUGUAGACAUAUUCAUUUAGUAUGCACCAUACAUUGUUAUUUUUAUCUCAACUAAACAAACAUCUCUAAUUGAAAACAAAAAUUAGACUUACUAGACAAGUCUUUUUUUUUUUUUUUUUUUAAGAUAUCAGUGAUAGUUACACUUUAUCUUACAGUGUUACACUUGAUCUUUCAGUACAAUUGUCUUUUUCUUUAACUAUAAAAUCCUCUGGUUUCUUGACAAGUAGUCAAAUCAAUUCAAAUGGCAACAUUUAACAUAAUACGUGGAUAUUUUUAUAUUCUUAUUUAGUUGAAUGUACAAAACUUUGGA